CACUCCAGCCACUGGAUUCAUAUGCGAACACCGUUCGAGCACAAGGAUCAUACCGACUGCUGAACGUGACAGUUGCUGUUGUAUACGACGUGUAAAAAUAUUAUGUGAUCACUGAUGAAUGAUAACGUUUGAACAUUUACAAAAAGAAAGUGUGGUCAGUAUUGCCUUCGACGGUCGGCCGUUGUUCACCUAUUUUGUAUACUAAUUAUACAAUAUAUCACACGGACGCCCAGAUACCGGGCAGUGACGUGAUUUUUCAGGUCCACGUUAGCGUCAAGGGAGUGUCAUAUUGAGACUACACUCGAGUAGGUCACAGUGCGGUUUUAUCCACGUUCUUUUGAAAAGUUAGACGUGUUCAUUUUGGUAUCACCGUGUUUUU